rnacentral:misc_RNA from 1 species
AAUUGUCAGACUGUUGAAGCUUUUUGACUUUGGUUAAAAGUUAUCUCAGUUUGGUGUUGGGCUCUGCCGUGCCUUAUAGGAACGGCUGGCCUUAAAAGCAUUAGCCCUGACCCUUGUGAGUGUGUUGGUUCUACUCAGUGUGAUAAUUGCUUCUGACCACUGAGGACAUCUUCCGAGAUGGCCAAUUCUCAUUUGGGGUUGCUUCUAAUCUGGUUGGCAGGUUGCUGAAUCUGCCCCACACUUCUAA